UCUUGGUCAUUUAGAGGAAGUAAAAGUCGUAACAAGGUCUCCGUUGGUGAACCAGCGGAGGGAUCAUUAUAGAGUUUUCUAAACUCCCAACCCAUGUGAACUUACCUUUUGUUGCCUCGGCAGAGGUUACCUGGUACCUGGAGACAGGUUACCCUGUAGCAACUGCCGGUGGACUACUAAACUCUUGUUAUUUUAUGUAAUCUGAGCGUCUUAUUUUAAUAAGUCAAAACUUUCAACAACGGAUCUCUUGGUUCUGGCAUCGAUGAAGAACGCAGCGAAAUGCGAUAAGUAAUGUGAAUUGCAGAAUUCAGUGAAUCAUCGAAUCUUUGAACGCACAUUGCGCCCAUUAGUAUUCUAGUGGGCAUGCCUGUUCGAGCGUCAUUUCAACCCUUAAGCCUAGCUUAGUGUUGGGAAUUUACAGUUAUGUAAUUCCUGAAAUACAACGGCGGAUCUGUGGUAUCCUCUGAGCGUAGUAAAUUAUUUCUCGCUUUUGUUAGGUGCUGCAGCUCCCAGCCGCUAAACCCCCAAUUUUUUGUGGUUGACCUCGGAUCAGGUAGGAAUACCCGCUGAACUUAAGCAUAUCAAUAAGCGGAGGA
rnacentral:rRNA from 1 species